ACUGCAUCCUUGUUGAAAAACGUGACGUCACGCGUAUUGCGAAUGUUACCAAAGUUCUCGGCAUUUUUGUUGUUUUGCUAUAUUUUCCACUUUAAAAGGGUGAUCUUGAAGCGUAAACUGGUCUAGUUGUUUUAAAAACAUGCCUAAGCCACGACAAAGUAUUCAAGGUAAAUGUUUUUCGUCUUUGUUUUGUAUUUUUUUACAUUUGUAGCUACGAAAUUGGCGUCACAAAUUUUUGCGAAAUUUGCGAUGUAUUUUUCACUGUUUAGUGCUUGAAAUAUUUGCUAAAAUUGACUGGGAAUACUUAGAGUUUUCAUCGUAUAGAAUGGCGUGGUUACAUUUAUUUGCUCUUUGACUAAAAUGUUUAGCUGUAUUAUUGCUAAACAUGCCGUUUUUGAGAAUUUGGUUUUCAACUAGGUUG